rnacentral:rRNA from 1 species
CCUACGGGAGGCAGCAGUGGGGGAUAUUGCACAAUGGGGGGAACCCUGAUGCAGCGACGCCGCGGGGGGGAAGAAGCGCCUCGGCGCGUAAAGCCCUGUCAGCAGGGACGAAAAUGACGGUACCUGGAGAAGACGCCCCGGCUAACGACGUUCCAGCAGCCGCGGUAAUACGAAGGGGGCAAGCGUUGUCCGGAUUUACUGGGUGUAAAGGGGGCGCAGACGGCGAUGAAAGCCAGGAGUGAAAGCCCGGGGCCCAACCCCGGGACUGCUCGUGGAACUGCGUGGCUGGAGUGCAGGAGGGGCAAGCGGAAUACCUGGUGUAGCGGUGAAAUGCGUAGAUAGCAGGAAGAACACCGGUGGCGAAGGCGGCCUGCUGGACUGCAACUGACGUUGAGGCCCGAAAGCGUGGGGAGCAAACAGGAUUAGAUACCCCAGUAGUC